CUACGGGAGGCUGCAGUGGGGAAUAUUGGACAAUGGGGGGAACCCUGAUCCAGCCAUGCCGCGUGUGUGAAGAAGGCCCUCGGGUUGUAAAGCACUUUCAGUGAGGAAGAACGCCUGGUGGUUAAUACCCAUCAGGAAAGACAUCACUCACAGAAGAAGCACCGGCUAACUCCGUGCCAGCAGCCGCGGUAAUACGGAGGGUGCGAGCGUUAAUCGGAAUUACUGGGCGUAAAGCGCGCGUAGGUGGCUUGAUAAGCCGGUUGUGAAAGCCCCGGGCUCAACCUGGGAACGGCAGCCGGAACUGUCAAGCUAGAGUGCAGGAGAGGAAGGUAGAAUUCCCGGUGUAGCGGUGAAAUGCGUAGAGAUCGGGAGGAAUACCAGUGGCGAAGGCGGCCUUCUGGACUGACACUGACACUGAGGUGCGAAAGCGUGGGUAGCAAACAGGAUUAGAUACCCGGGUAGUC
rnacentral:rRNA from 1 species